rnacentral:rRNA from 1 species
GUAAAGGGUGCGUAGGCGGAAGCCUAAGUCGGGGGUGAAAUCUUGCCGCUCAACGGUAAAAUGGCCUUCGAUACUGGGUUUCUUGAGUCCGGAAGAGGUUGGUGGAAUUCGUGGUGUAGCGGUGAAAUGCAUAGAUAUCACGAAGAACACCGGUGGCGAAGGCGGCCAACUGGUCCGGCACUGACGCUGAGGCACGAGAGCGUGGGGAGCGAACAGGAUUAGAUACCCUGGUAGUCCAUGCUGUAAACAAUGUAUGCUAGAUGUUGGCCUUGCGGCCAGUGUUGUAGUUAACGCGCCAAGCAUACCACCUGGGGAGUACGUUCGCAAGAAUGAAACUCAAAGGAAUUGACGGGGGCCCGCACAAGCGGUGGAGCAUGUGGCUUAAUUCGAUGCAACGCGAAGAACCUUACCCGGGCUAAAUCCAGCCUGCCGGCUCCCGAAAGGGAGUGUUCCUGCUUUGCAGGACGGGCUGGAAGGUGCUGCAUGGCUGUCGUCAGCUCGUGCCGUGAGGUGUUGGGUUAAGUCCCGCAACGAGCGCAACCCCUGUGGUUAGUUACCAGCGCGUAAUGGCGGGGACUCUAGCCAGACUGCCUACGCAAGUAGUGAGGAAGGUGGGGACGACGUCAAGUCAUCAUGGCCCUUACGUCCGGGGCUGCACACGUGCUACAAUGGGCGCUACAAAGGGAAGCCACCUCGCGAGAGGGCGCGGAUCUUUAAAGGCGUCCCCAGUUCGGAUUGGAGUCU